GGUAAUAGAAUAUGUACAAAAUGAACGCAAUGCCUAUAUUUAACUUUCAAAUUUUAAUUUUCAAAUUAGCCUGUUAAAUUUUUUCAGAAUGUUUCUGUUGUUUUAAUAGGAAAAUGUAGAAUGGGUCCUGUGGUCAAAACAUUAACUUCUAAUUCCCUAGUAGAGUAUCCAAAGCCACUAUAUUUGAGUAGAAACAUUACUUACUCUCUAUACAUUUCAGUAGCACCAAAUAGCAUUACUGUGACAAAAACAUAUACCAAGAUGUCACUCACAAUUUUUUCUAAUAUGUGUAUUUUGUUGUGUCUGCCUACUUUUUGAAAGACAAAUACAAGAGUAAAAAAGUGGUCCAUGUAAAAAUAACCAAGUGAGUAAAAAAAAAAAAAUAUAACGCAGUUGAGAUGUAUAGCUCCUAUCUGUACUGCUUCACACUACCGCUUUCCAGCAUCAUGGUGUUUUACAGAUAUGUGUUUGACAGCUCAGUAGCAAAGUAUAUUCCCACUUUGGGUGGAACAUUGCAAUUCUGCAGGAUGUUGAUUCAUUGUGAGUUAGUCCAGUUGGCAAGUUAAUUAAUGUCAGUCAAAAAGAAGAGUUAUAAAUAUCUCCAUACACUAUGCUCUUCCUUUUGCAUCUUCAGCCCUACUACAUAUGAUGGGUUUGACCCAGGCACAAUCAUUAGGUUAACUUGAGUUGUGACUUGCUUAAGUUGAUCUUUUAAACAGUUAACCCUUGCUUUAACACAGCAACUCCUUACCGAAGGACACCUCAAAGCACAACCCUUUGAGGCUCAGCAGGAGCUUACGAGCAGAUGUGUGCAGGUCCUUGGUCCAUACAAACAUCUGCAGAUGACAUGACAUCAUUCUGUGCCCACGAGGCAGUAGUUAGGUACCAGCUGACUGCUCUGCAACUGCACCCCUGAGCUCAGCCAGCUUGGGCUUUGAUUCAGCUUUGCUCAAGGUGACCGUUGAAGUCCUCCUAGAUCCUGUCUGAGAAAUCACAUCGACAAGUUUCCAGAAGAUGAGUCAUUAUGGAGAAGGCUUGACACUCUGGCAAGAGGAAGAUAGGAAUAAUGAAUAUGGGUGAGGACAUGGGAGGAGAAGGCAGAAGAGAUGACUGGAGUGUUGAUAUUGCCUGCAACUGACAGCCUCAGAAAAACUAAUUAGGGCUGAGGAAGCUGAAGAAUUCUAUAUGAGAAAAUGGAGUUUGAAUAUUAAUAGGCUCUUCUCUAUUAUUUCCCAAUUUUAAAUCCAUUAAAUUUGAAGGGGCCUAAAGUUUGGGAAAACACAUUUCCUUAUUCUUGUGACAUGAUGAACAAUGCAAGGAUUAGAAGGUAAUAGUUUUUGCAAGUGUCCAAAUCCAUGUGUAUACUGGGGUUAGCACGUAGCUAAUGCACAACUGAAGUUGCACUUACAGAAUUCCCUCUUCAAGGGUUUCUAUGAAAUUUAAUGGUAAACUGGGCUCUGUUUCUGAAUAAGCUUGGCAGUGUCACUCAGUAUUUGCCAUCAGACAAGGAAAAAGCAUUGUACACUGUAUUUUUCAUUUGUUUUGCUAUUAUGCUGUUUUAAGAAUGAUUUACCAUUGCUUGGCUCUGUGAUUCAUUUGAUUGUUUUCCCUCAUUUCAAGAUGAAUCGUAGUUUUUAAUCUGUUUGCUGUCAUGUCUCAUUUCAC